rnacentral:rRNA from 1 species
GAGUUUGAUCCUGGCUCAGGAUGAACGCUGGCGGCGUGCUUAACACAUGCAAGUCGAGCGAUGAAGUUUCCUUCGGGAAACGGAUUAGCGGCGGACGGGUGAGUAACACGUGGGUAACCUGCCUCAUAGAGUGGAAUAGCCUUCCGAAAGGAAGAUUAAUACCGCAUAAUGUUGAAAGAUGGCAUCAUUAUUCAACCAAAGGAGCAAUCCGCUAUGAGAUGGACCCGCGGCGCAUUAGCUAGUUGGUGGGGUAACGGCCUACCAAGGCGACGAUGCGUAGCCGACCUGAGAGGGUGAUCGGCCACAUUGGGACUGAGACACGGCCCAGACUCCUACGGGAGGCAGCAGUGGGGAAUAUUGCACAAUGGGGGAAACCCUGAUGCAGCAACGCCGCGUGAGUGAUGAAGGUUUUCGGAUCGUAAAGCUCUGUCUUUGGGGAAGAUAAUGACGGUACCCAAGGAGGAAGCCACGGCUAACUACGUGCCAGCAGCCGCGGUAAUACGUAGGUGGCGAGCGUUAUCCGGAUUUACUGGGCGUAAAGGGAGCGUAGGCGGAUGAUUAAGUGGGAUGUGAAAUACCCGGGCUCAACUUGGGUGCUGCAUUCCAAACUGGUUAUCUAGAGUGCAGGAGAGGAGAGUGGAAUUCCUAGUGUAGCGGUGAAAUGCGUAGA